rnacentral:rRNA from 1 species
AACGAACGCUGGCGGCGCGUCUUAAACAUGCAAGUCGAACGGCAGGAAGGGGCUUGCCCCUUCUGAGAGUGGCGGACUGGUGAGUAACACGUGGGUGACAUACCUUUUAGUUGGGGAUAGCUAUUAGAAAUAGUAGGUAAUACCGAAUGUGACCGUACCUGUUAGAGGGGUACGAGGAAAGGAGCUAAGGCUUCGCUAAAAGAAUGGCUCGCGGCCAAUUAUGCUCGUUGGUGAGGUAACGGCCCACCAAGGCGAUGAUGGGUAUCCGGCCUGAGAGGGUGAACGGACACAUUGGGACUGAGAUACGGCCCAGACGUCUACGGGAGGCAGCAGUUAAGAAUAUUCCGCAAUGGACGAAAGUCUGACGGAGCGACGCCGCGUGGAUGAAGAAUGCCGAAAGGUUGUAAAAUCCUUUUAAGCCUGAUGAAUAAGCACAGUAGGGAAUGAUUGUGCGGUGACCGUAGGGCUUGAAUAAGCACCGGCUAAUUACGUG